GGGGCAUCGGGGCGAGGAGCAAUCCUUGCCGCCGGCGACCGGCGCACUUGGUGAGUAACGCGUAUGCGACCUGCCCGUUGCAGGGGGAUAAUCGGGAGAAAUCCCGUCUAAUACCGCGUAACGCCGCGGGGCUGCAUGGCCCUGCGGCCAAAGGAAGCGAUUCCGGCAACGGAUGGGCAUGCGUGACAUUAGCUAGUUGGCGGGGCAACGGCCCACCAAGGCGACGAUGUCUAGGGGUUCUGAGAGGAAGGUCCCCCACACUGGUACUGAGACACGGACCAGACUCCUACGGGAGGCAGCAGUGAGGAAUAUUGGUCAAUGGGCGCGAGCCUGAACCAGCCAAGUCGCGUGAGGGAUGACGGCCCUACGGGUUGUAAACCUCUUUUGUCGGGGAGCAAAUUCCGCCACGCGUGGCGGAGUCGAGAGUACCCGAAGAAAAAGCAUCGGCUAACUCCGUGCCAGCAGCCGCGGUAAUACGGAGGAUGCGAGCGUUAUCCGGAUUUAUUGGGUUUAAAGGGUGCGUAGGCGGACUGUCAAGUCAGCGGUAAAAUACGGGGGCUCAACCUCCGCCCGCCGUUGAAACUGACGGUCUUGAGUGGGCGAGAAGUAUGCGGAAUGCGUGGUGUAGCGGUGAAAUGCAUAGAUAUCACGCAGAACUCCGAUUGCGAAGGCAGCAUACCGGCGCCCAACUGACGCUGAAGCACGAAAGCGUGGGUAUCGAACAGGAUUAGAUACCCUGGUAGUCCACGCAGUAAACGAUGAAUACUAGCUGUCCGGGGCGAAUGGGCCCU
rnacentral:rRNA from 1 species